rnacentral:rRNA from 1 species
AUUGAACGCUGGCGGCAGGCCUAACACAUGCAAGUCGAGCGGAUGAGUGGAGCUUGCUCCAUGAUUCAGCGGCGGACGGGUGAGUAAUGCCUAGGAAUCUGCCUGGUAGUGGGGGACAACGUUUCGAAAGGAACGCUAAUACCGCAUACGUCCUACGGGAGAAAGCAGGGGACCUUCGGGCCUUGCGCUAUCAGAUGAGCCUAGGUCGGAUUAGCUAGUAGGUGAGGUAAUGGCUCACCUAGGCGACGAUCCGUAACUGGUCUGAGAGGAUGAUCAGUCACACUGGAACUGAGACACGGUCCAGACUCCUACGGGAGGCAGCAGUGGGGAAUAUUGGACAAUGGGCGAAAGCCUGAUCCAGCCAUGCCGCGUGUGUGAAGAAGGUCUUCGGAUUGUAAAGCACUUUAAGUUGGGAGGAAGGGCAGUAAGCUAAUACCUUGCUGUUUUGACGUUACCAACAGAAUAAGCACCGGCUAACUUCGUGCCAGCCGCCGCGGUAAGAC